rnacentral:rRNA from 4 species
UACAGAGGGUGCAAGCAUUAAUCGGAUUUAUUGGGCGUAAAGAGCGCGUAGGCGGGUUUUUAAGUCAGAUGUGAAAUCCCGGGGCUCAACCCCGGAACAGCAUUUGAAACUGAAAAUCUUGAGGGUAGUCGGAGAAAAUGGAAUUCCACGUGUAGCGGUGAAAUGCGUAGAUAUGUGGAAGAACACCGGUGGCGAAGGCGAUUUUCUAGAUUAUUCCUGACGCUGAGGCGCGAAAGCAAGGGGAUCAAACAGG